rnacentral:lncRNA from 1 species
UCCCCAGUCCCCAUUGGAAUUCCUAACCAUACCUCCAACGCCACCAUUAUCAGGGUUACCCAAACAAGAACCAUCGGUGUUGAGUUUAUAGGUACCUCGCGGGGAGGUGUCCAAGCAAUGGAAAUGGAAAUCUUAGUAGGGAGAGCGGUCUGAUGGGUGAGGUGAGCAAAUUCAGUAGCUUCUACAUAAGCUUGGGUGA